rnacentral:rRNA from 1 species
UCAGAUUGAACGCUGGCGGCAGGCCUAACACAUGCAAGUCGAGCGGAUGACGGGAGCUUGCUCCUUGAUUCAGCGGCGGACGGGUGAGUAAUGCCUAGGAAUCUGCCUGGUAGUGGGGGACAACGUUUCGAAAGGAACGCUAAUACCGCAUACGUCCUACGGGAGAAAGCAGGGGACCUUCGGGCCUUGCGCUAUCAGAUGAGCCUAGGUCGGAUUAGCUAGUUGGUGGGGUAAUGGCUCACCAAGGCGACGAUCCGUAACUGGUCUGAGAGGAUGAUCAGUCACACUGGAANUGAGACACGGUCCAGACUCCUACGGGAGGCAGCAGUGGGGAAUAUUGGACAAUGGGCGAAAGCCUGAUCCAGCCAUGCCGCGUGUGUGAAGAAGGUCUUCGGAUUGUAAAGCACUUUAAGUUGGGAGGAAGGGCAGUAAGUUAAUACCNUGCUGUUUGACGUACCGACAGAA